rnacentral:rRNA from 1 species
UACGUAGGGGGCUAGCGUUGUCCGGAAUCAUUGGGCGUAAAGCGCGUGUAGGCGGUCCGGUAAGUCCGCUGUGAAAGUCGGGGGCUCAACCCUCGGAUGCCGGUGGAUACUGUCGGGCUUGAGUACGGAAGAGGCGAGUGGAAUUCCGUGGUGUAGCGGUGAAAUGCGCAGAUAUCAGGAGGAACACCAAUGGCGAAGGCAGCUCGCUGGGACGGUACUGACGCUGAGACGCGAAAGCGUGGGGAGCAACAGG